AGAUGACACUUUGUAAAAUAUCAUAUAUUAUUACGAUUCAUAAUUUAAGUGUAUUAUGCAAUAUAUUUACUUCAAUUUUCGCGCGACUAAAUAAAUAAGAAACCAUAUUGUUCCUCCAAUCAGAAAACCUCUAAGAGAACCUGUUGCAUAUGGCGUCAUUUUCUUGUCGAAAGUCAUCGUAGUGAGACGUAUCAUCAGUUCAACGAUUUGAUUUUUACUUUACAUUAAGCAAUCAUUUGAUUGUCAAAAUGAAGAAAGAAUAAUGAUUUAAUAAUUCCACGACGAUUAAUAGCCAAUAAAAUGAUUUCUUUAAAGCAGAUUAUGUAAUCGAUUGCUGAAAUAACUUCGAAGGCAGAAAAAAUUUCAAUAUGGAUGCCAUUAUGCUUUUUCAUGGAGAUAUGUUUCUAUGUUUGAUGACAGGUGAUAAUUUUUCAUAAAAUGCAAUAGCAUUGCCAGCGCAGAUUCUUCACAUCUAAUGGUUGUCGAACAGCAUUAACAGCAGCUGCAAGGAAACGAGAAAUGGACCGUUUUAAUGGGCCUGUUCGAUUUGCAUCGGGCCUGAAGAUGCGCGAGAAAACCGGAAUCGUCCGUGUAUCAAUCCAAGUAAUACACUUUGUGGAGGGAUAUUGAGAAUUUCGAAUGUCGAACCGAUGUUUACUCGAACGAGAAGCUUAUUAACGAUAACGUGUGUCCGAUUCGUGUCGAAGGGACGCGCGUAUAGAUUAAGUAAUAUGUGUGCGUGUAUUUUCUUUUUUUCCUUCAUCGAUUUUACCGAAGAAUAAAAAGAAUUUGCGUGGACAGUUUACGAUUUCGUGCAAUUCGUGGAAUUUUAAGUGAAUAAUAACGAAUAAUAUAUAUAUAUAUUCGUAUAAAUAAAUGAUUCUUUCAUUGUUUGAGCAUCGAUUUUAGAGGUUAAAAUAAAAGUUAGUA